rnacentral:sRNA from 1 species
CCACAAAGACCGGUCCUGCGCUGCCUGC